UACGAAGGGGGCUAGCGUUGCUCGGAAUCACUGGGCGUAAAGGGUGCGUAGGCGGGUCUUUUAAGUCAGGGGUGAAAUCCUGGAGCUCAACUCCAGAACUGCCUUUGAUACUGAAGAUCUUGAGUUCGGGAGAGGUGAGUGGAACUGCGAGUGUAGAGGUGAAAUUCGUAGAUAUUCGCAAGAACACCAGUGGCGAAGGCGGCUCACUGGCCCGAUACUGACGCUGAGGCACGAAAGCGUGGGGAGCAAGACGAGUA
rnacentral:rRNA from 1 species